UACGUAGGUGGCAAGCGUUGUCCGGAUUUACUGGGCGUAAAGAGCGCGCAGGCGGUCGUUCAAGUCGCGUGUGAAAGCCCCCGGCUCAACUGGGGAGGGUCAUUCGAUACUGAUCGACUCGAAGGCAGGAGAGGGUAGUGGAAUUCCCGGUGUAGUGGUGAAAUGCGUAGAUAUCGGGAGGAACACCAGUGGCGAAGGCGACUACCUGGCCUGUUCUUGACGCUGAGGCGCGAAAGCUAGGGGAGCAAACGGGG
rnacentral:rRNA from 1 species